rnacentral:rRNA from 1 species
GUGGGGAAUAUUGGACAAUGGGCGAAAGCCUGAUCCAGCCAUGCCGCGUGUGUGAAGAAGGUCUUCGGAUUGUAAAGCACUUUAAGUUGGGAGGAAGGGCAGUAAGUUAAUACCUUGCUGUUUUGACGUUACCGACAGAAUAAGCACCGGCUAACUUCGUGCCAGCAGCCGCGGUAAUACGAAGGGUGCAAGCGUUAAUCGGAAUUACUGGGCGUAAAGCGCGCGUAGGUGGUUUUGUAAGUUGGAGGUGAAAUCCCCGGGCUCAACCUGGGAACUGCCUCCAAAACUGCAGGACUAGAGUACGGUAGAGGGUAGUGGAAUUUCCUGUGUAGCGGUGAAAUGCGUAGAUAUAGGAAGGAACACCAGUGGCGAAGGCGACUACCUGGACUGAUACUGACACUGAGGUGCGAAAGCGUGGGGAGCAAACAGGAUUAGAUACCCUUGUAGUCC